ACUGCGAAUGGCUCAUUAUAUAAGUUAUCGUUUAUUUGAUAGUACCUUACUACUUGGAUAACCGUGGUAAUUCUAGAGCUAAUACAUGCUAAAAAUCCCGACUUCGGAAGGGAUGUAUUUAUUAGAUUAAAAACCAAUGCCCUCUGGGCUCUCUGGUGAUUCAUGAUAACUUCUCGAAUCGCAUGGCCUUGCGCCGGCGAUGGUUCAUUCAAAUUUCUUCCCUAUCAACUUUCGAUGUUUGGGUAUUGGCCAAACAUGGUCGCAACGGGUAACGGAGGGUUAGGGCUCGACCCCGGAGAAGGAGCCUGAGAAACGGCUACUACAUCCAAGGAAGGCAGCAGGCGCGCAAAUUACCCAAUCCCGACACGGGGAGGUAGUGACAAUAAAUACUGAUACAGGGCUCUUUCGGGUCUUGUAAUUGGAAUGAGUACAAUUUAAAUCCCUUAACGAGGAACAAUUGGAGGGCAAGUCUGGUGCCAGCAGCCGCGGUAAUUCCAGCUCCAAUAGCGUAUAUUAAAGUUGUUGUGGUUAAAAAGCUCGUAGUUGAACCUUGGGCCUGGCUGGCCGGUCCGCCUCACCGCGUGUACUGGUCCGGCCGGGCCUUUCCCUCUGUGGAACCUCAUGCCCUUCACUGGGCGUGACGGGGAAACAGGACUUUUACUGUGAAAAAAUUAGAGUGCUCCAGGCAGGCCUAUGCUCGAAUACAUUAGCAUGGAAUAAUGAAAUAGGACGUGCGGUUCUAUUUUGUUGGUUUCUAGGACCGCCGUAAUGAUUAAUAGGGACAGUCGGGGGCAUCAGUAUUCAAUUGUCAGAGGUGAAAUUCUUGGAUUUAUUGAAGACUAACUACUGCGAAAGCAUUUGCCAAGGAUGUUUUCAUUAAUCAGGAACGAAAGUUAGGGGAUCGAAGACGAUCAGAUACCGUCGUAGUCUUAACCAUAAACUAUGCCGACUAGGGAUCGGACGAUGUAAAUAAUUGACUCGUUCGGCACCUUACGAGAAAUCAAAGUGUUUGGGCUCCAGGGGGAGUAUGGUCGCAAGGCUGAAACUUAAAG
rnacentral:rRNA from 5 species